AUAUUUACAUAGUUACAUAGCUGAAAAGAGACUUGUGUCCAUCAAGUUCAGCCUUCCUCACAUUUGUUUUUUGCUGUUGAUCCAAAAGAAGGCAAAAAAAACCCAGUUUGAAGCACAAUUUUGCAACAAGCUAGGAAAAAAAUUCCUUCUUGACCCCAGAAUGGCAGUCAGAUUUAUCCUUGGCUCAAGCAGUUAUUACCUUAC